rnacentral:rRNA from 1 species
ACUCAAAUGAAUUGACGGGGGCCCGCACAAGCGGUGGAACAUGUGGUUUAAUUCGACACUACGCGAGGAACCUUACCUAGGCUUGACAUGCUUUUGACAGUCGUAGAAAUACGAUCUUUCUGGCUUCGGUCAGGACAAUUGCACAGGUGCUGCAUGGCUGUCGUCAGCUCGUGUCGUGAGAUGUUGGGUUAAGUCCUCUAACGAGCGCAACCCCUGCUGUCAGUUGCUACUUGCGUAAGCAAAGCACUCUGAUGGGACUGCCUGGGAAACCAGGAGGAAGGUGGGGAUGACGUCAAGUCCUCAUGGCCUUUAUGCCUAGGGCAACACACGUGUUACAAUGGUUGGUACAAAGGGUUGCGAGCUUGUAAAAGUAAGCUAAUCCCAAAAAGCCAAUCUAAGUUCAGAUUGAGGUCUGCAACUCGACCUCAUGAAGUUGAAAUCGCUAGUAAUCGCGUAUCAGAACGACGCGGUGAAUACGUUCUCGGGCCUUGUACACACCGCCCGU